CAGGGGGCAGCUAUACAUGCAGUCGAGCGGACCGACGGGAGCUUGCUCCCUUAGGUCAGCGGCGGACGGGUGAGUAACACGUGGGUAACCUGCCUGUAAGACUGGGAUAACUCCGGGAAACCGGGGCUAAUACCGGAUGCUUGAUUGAACCGCAUGGUUCAAUCAUAAAAGGUGGCUUUUAGCUACCACUUACAGAUGGACCCGCGGCGCAUUAGCUAGUUGGUGAGGUAACGGCUCACCAAGGCGACGAUGCGUAGCCGACCUGAGAGGGUGAUCGGCCACACUGGGACUGAGACACGGCCCAGACUCCUACGGGAGGCAGCAGUAGGGAAUCUUCCGCAAUGGACGAAAGUCUGACGGAGCAACGCCGCGUGAGUGAUGAAGGUUUUCGGAUCGUAAAACUCUGUUGUUAGGGAAGAACAAGUACCGUUCGAAUAGGGCGGUACCUUGACGGUACCUAACCAGAAAGCCACGGCUAACUACGUGCCAGCAGCCGCGGUAAUACGUAGGUGGCAAGCGUUGUCCGGAAUUAUUGGGCGUAAAGCGCGCGCAGGCGGUUUCUUAAGUCUGAUGUGAAAGCCCCCGGCUCAACCGGGGAGGGUCAUUGGAAACUGGGGAACUUGAGUGCAGAAGAGGAGAGUGGAAUUCCACGUGUAGCGGUGAAAUGCGUAGAGAUGUGGAGGAACACCAGUGGCGAAGGCGACUCUCUGGUCUGUAACUGACGCUGAGGCGCGAAAGCGUGGGGAGCGAACAGGAUUAGAUACCCUGGUAGUCCACGCCGUAAACGAUGAGUGCUAAGUGUUAGAGGGUUUCCGCCCUUUAGUGCUGCAGCAAACGCAUUAAGCACUCCGCCUGGGGAGUACGGUCGCAAGACUGAAACUCAAAGGAAUUGACGGGGGCCCGCACAAGCGGUGGAGCAUGUGGUUUAAUUCGAAGCAACGCGAAGAACCUUACCAGGUCUUGACAUCCUCUGACAACCCUAGAGAUAGGGCUUCCCCUUCGGGGGCAAAGUGACAGGUGGUGCAUGGUUGUCGUCAGCUCGUGUCGUGAGAUGUUGGGUUAAGUCCCGCAACGAGCGCAACCCUUGAUCUUAGUUGCCAGCAUUCAGUUGGGCACUCUAAGGUGACUGCCGGUGA
rnacentral:rRNA from 2 species